GGUGAAAGGCUAAUCAAACUUGGAGAUAGCUGGUUUUCUGUGAAAUCUAUUUACGUAAAGUGUUAAAAUUAAUAUUUUGUGGUAGAGAUAUCGAUAAAAGAGGGUUGCCCAUAAAGCUUUACCAAUUUUAAGGAAACUUCAAAUACAAAAUAUUAUUUUGAUAAUCGGACUUAUAAUGCUAAGGUUGUAGGUCGAGAGGGAAACAGCCCAGAUUGUUUAUUAAGGUCUUUAAAUUAUAAAUUUUCUCAUAAGAAAUGAAUUUUUAAAUUGUGAUAACUAAGAGUUAGGUUCAGAAGCAGCCAUUCUUUAAAGAAAGCGUAAAAGCUCAUUGGUUUAAUUUAAAAAUUCGGACGAUGUAGGGAGAUUUGAAGAAAUAUACCGAAAUAGCAAAUUUAAAUAAAUAAGUUUAAAUGGUAACAGAACGUUCUGUAUGCAAAAAGAUAAAUUGAAAAAUUUAUUAGUGUAUCAGAAGUGAUAAUACUGGUAUGAGUAAUCUAAAUAAUAUAAAAUAGGUAAUUAAUUAUUAUCGUCGAAAAUUUAAGGUUUUUAAUUUAUAAUUGUUAAACAAAAUUAAGUAAUGCGGUCUCUAAAAAUUAGGUGAAAACUGAUUUUGAUGAGUAUUAUUAAAAAGGACUUAAACAAUUAAAGGAUAUACUUUAAUUAAAUUUAAUUCAAAAAACUUUUUUAUAAAACCGUACUAAAAACCAACACAGGUAAAUGGGUAGAGUAUACUAAGACGAUAAAGUGAAUCAUAGUGAAGGAACUCGGCAAAUUAACCUUGUAACUUCGGAAGAAAAGGUUUUUAUUAAGUAUAUUACUUAAUAAAAUAAUAUAAAAGGGGGUAGCGACUGUUUAAUAAAAACACAGGACUUUGCUAAAUCGUAAGAUGAUGUAUAAGGUCUGACACCUGCCAGGAACUGUGUAGUUAAAAUUAAAGAUAAUUAUUUUUAAUAUAAGCAGCAGUAAUCGGCGGCCAUAACUCUGAUGGUCCUAAGGUAGCGAAAUUCCUUGUCAACUAAUUAUUGACGUGCAUGAAUGGUGUAACGACUUCCCCACUGUCUCCACUAUGAGCUUUGUGAAAUUGAAAUAUUCGUGAAGAUGCGAAUUAUAUAUGGUUAGACGGUAAGACCCCGUGCACCUUUACUACAAUUUUUUAUUGAUUAUUUUUAUAAAAUUGUGUAGAAUAAGUGGGAGUUUAAAUUUAGUUUUAAACAACAAUGAAAUACCACUCGUUUUAUGAUUAAUAACUAACUUUAAAAAAAAAUUUAAAGGACAUAUAUAAGAUUGGUAGUUUAACUGGGGUGGUUUUCUCCAAAAAGGUAACGGAGAAAUAUAAAGGUAAAUUAAUAAUUAUUGUUGUAAUAAUUAUUUAUGUAUAAUGGCUAAAAUUUGCUUGACUGUAAGAUUGACAAAUCAAACAGAAACGAAAGUUGAUCAUAAUGACCCGGUAAUUCUUUAUGGAAAGGUUAUCGAUCAAUGGAUAAAAGGUACGCCGGGGAUAACAGGCUGAUAAUUCUCUAGAGCUCAUAUCGACGGAAUUGUUUGGCACCUCGAUGUCGGCUCAUCACAUCCUAGAGCUGAAGAAGGUUCUAAGGGUUUGGCUGUUCGCCAAUUAAAGUGGUACGUGAGCUGGGUUUAAAACGUCGUGAGACAGUUUUGUCCCUAUCUGCCAUAUAAUAAAGAAAAGAAGAAAAGAAUAAUUCUAGUACGAGAGGACCGAAUUAGAUUGAUCAAUGGUAUAUAAGUUAUAAAUUCUCAAUUUGUAUUGCUUAGUAGCUAAAUCAAUGAAAGAUAAAUACUGAAUAAAUAUAAGUAUGAAGCUUUUUUUCUUAUUUUCUCAAAAAAAAGUAAGAGACUAUUACUUUAAUAGGCUUAAUGUUUAUAUAAAUUGCUAAUAAGUACUAAUUUUUUGUUAAAUUUAUAAAAAUAAGAUUUCGU
rnacentral:rRNA from 1 species